AUUGAAGCCCCGGCGUUGAACAGCUGCAGCUCGUAUCAAGUCCGUAUUUUAUAUUUUAAACUGCUAGCUACACACCUAUGCUUAAAUCCAAACGGACUAAACCAAGUGGAAACGCUUUGAUGCCACGUGCAAAGUCAUGCCACCAUCAAUGGGAAUGGCACAUUGGACACGUGGCUUUCAACUCCAGCGAGGUGGCGGCACGGAUCUCUGCAUGUCUGACUGACAUCUCCCAGUGGAUGUCCGCCCAUCACCUGAAGAUCAACCCCGACAAGACUGAACUACUUCUCUUCCCUGGAAAAAACUCGCCCACUCAGGACCUGACUGUUAACUUUGGCGAACACCGUUAACAUCAGGAGAAUACGACCCCUUCUCACUCAGAAGGCGGCGCAGGUACAGAUUCAGGCUCUUGUCAUCUCUCGCCUCGACUACUGUAACUCUCUGCUGGCGGGUCUCCCUGCUACCGCCAUACGACCACUGCAGCUCAUCCAGAAUGCAGCAGCUCGACUGGUCUUCAACCUUCUGAAAUACUCCCACACCACACCGCUUCUCCGUUCUCUUCAUUGGUUACUAGUGGCUCCCCGCAUCCAGUUCAAAGCAUUGGUACUGACGUACCACGCUGUGAAUGGAUCGGGACCAGUCUACAUCCGGGACAUGGUUAAACCCUACAUCCCAACCCACACACUCCGAUCUGCAUCUGCCACGCUGCUUGUUCCUCCCUCACUGAGAGAAAAGCACUCGACGAGAUCGCGACUCUUUGCUGUCCUGGCUCCCAGAUGGUGGAACGAGCUCUCUGAUGACAUCAGGACUGCAGAGAGCCUCUCCAUCUUCCGUCGAAAACUCAAGACACACCUUUUUAGACUCUACCUUGACUAAAACACUAGCAAACCGUAGCACUAACAAAUGGUAGCACUUAAAUUGUACUUAUAAUGCCACUUAUCUUUAACAUGUUUUGAAACUGCUUAGUUAAUGAAAAAUGUACUUUCUUGUUACUUGUUCUUCUGAGUUUGUAUCUCUAUGUGGAAAUGCACUUAUUGUACGUCGCUUUGGAUAAAAGCGUCAGCUAAAUGACAUGUAAUGUAAAAGCCUUCUUCCUGUGUUCUUACAACAGCAUUCCAUUACAUAUCGAUGUAAUAAUUUGGCCUUCUUUUUUUCUUCCAGCACACGGCACAGGUUGGCGUCACAAUCAUGGCAAAGUUGACUGGACCACAGCGGAAAAUUAUCCUUCCAGAGAAGAAGUUAUUUACUUCUACAACGAAUGGAAGAGUUACAACUUCCAGAUGACAGCUCGCCGCUCAUCCUUCUGGGCAACUUGAACAUCCGACAGAACUUAUGUGACCUACUGCGUUUUAUUUUCUCCUUUAGCUGUCAUUUAAGUAUUAAAAUUCGCUGUAUUUUUGCAAGAGAGGCACCAAUCCUAUUUGAGUGACGUUUCGAUUGUGAAAUUGUAUUGGACCAUAUAGGUCAUCUGCAGAGCGUUGGCCCCUGGCGCAGUAAACCAGGGUUUGAUUCUUGGCAUGCACAAGACUCCUCAUGUGACUUAAAAUGAAUCCAGAAUGCAAUAUUUGUUCAGUAUGCAAGGGCAGUGAUUUAUUUAGUCAUGUUUGGUCAUGUUUUGGUUUUUUUACAUGACAAUAUGGUUUGGUACAUGCUGAGUUAAUGAAUAUACAUUCUAAAUUGCAAUGUCCAUAUGUGAAUAAGAGUUGUAUACGUUUAUCAUAGUCAACAUGGUGUGGAAAUAUCCCUUAUGUAGUUGGUCAAUGGGAACUAUAGUAGGCCGUAAUAACAGCUAAGGUAAUUACAGGUGGAUAUUUCUGGGAAUUAACCUUAAAUGAGACUGCAUUUAUGAUAUCUAAGAUAUACAGGACAAGAAAAAUGCACUGGAUGUGUAUAUGUGUUGAAUCAAUUAUACAGACGCAAACUGGAGAACGAGACAAGUGUUGCUGUGAUACUUAUUGUGGUCAUCGUGCCCGAGACCCGUAACAAUUACUCCGCAGGUCUUUUGCAGCGGGGCAACAGCCCGGCGUCGGUGGAUUCCGUUCGCGAGGCCGCAGAUUCGGGUUUGAAUGGCAGCCCCGAGAGUGAUUUGUUUAGUCUCUUUAGUCUUUUUUGACCCGCGAGCCCGGCCGACCGCCGCCCCACCCCGACGUGCGAGAAUAGGCGAAGGCCCGUUCAUCGCUGCUUGCAGCUUUAAUUUAACUUUUAUUUUCUAAACACAUAACAGAUAUUUAUGUUAUUGCUAGAAGUUUGCAAGAGUUCUAGAACUGUCAUUAUUUAUA